GUGGAGUGGAGAGUGGAGUGUUUGUGCCCCCCCCCCCCCCCCCCCCCGCCUCCACACCCAUGCUCUAGGGGCUAAAGUUAAAGUUAGCAGUACAGAGAGGGCCUGCCCCAGUCACACACAAUGUCCCAUUGAGUAGCCCAGCUUCCUGCUGUGGAAACUGGGUGCAGAGAGGGGGGGGGGGGAGGGGGGGGGUGGGAUCAUGUGUAGGGGAGAUGUUAAAGUAAUUGGCACUUUAAUUGUGUGUAUUGGUGCAAGAUUCAGUUGGUGUGUGUGUUUGGAGACUGGUGGUCCUGGAGUAUCUCCUCUGGUUUUCCAGGCAAAAGUGAUGUUGGAGGCCCAACAAACGAACCCCAGCAGAUCUCUGCUGCGCUGCAGACUCCCAGGCAGGCCGAUGGGGAGGCUUGUUCCAGGAUCUUCUCUCUUCAGUUUUCCCCAUGGGAAAUAUCUGUGACAGUUACAGUAGCACUUAUGCCAUAUAACCUGUAGAGUAAAUACUGUACCCAUUGUAUGAAGAAGAGUCUGGAGAAAGAGUUUUUUAUUUUAUUUUUUUGUGGCGCAUUGACCGUUUCGAGAGAAAAAAAACACAUGCAUAAACACAUACACCCCCUGUCACUUGGUCCCUUACACUAACCCCACAUUAGACACUCACCUGCCCAACACCAGGGACGUCUAAAUAAGGACCACGUAUUUUCCAGCACCACCCCUCUGUGACUCCCACAAAGGGAAACAAAGAAAGGUGUUUACAUGUAUAUUCUGAUCUAUGUUGAAGAAAGAAAAGAAAAAAAGGAAAAAAAAGAAACGAUUUUGAACUAUAUCAGUGGUAGAACACACUAUUAGCUGCACUGUGAACGCCUUGUUGGAUGAGGGGACCCCUUGGGUGCUGAGACAGGCUUAGCUGAUAAACCAGACUGAUUUGCUGCACUCACAUUUCAUUUCAUUUAAGGUGAAUCAGAUUGUGAUCUGGUGAGGUACAGGCAGGUCACGCCAGCAGCUCUCCUAGUCCACCCUAGCACGACCCCCUGCAACGUCUACAUGUUCCUGUGUAGGGUCACGCUUUUGCCUCUUAUGAGGAAUUAGGAAAUAUUUUUUGGUUUUCUCCUAAAGAGUUUUAUUCUCAUCUUUCCCAUAUUUUGUUCGGAAAGCUGAGUUGAUGCUAUAUGCAAAAAGAAAAGAUGUAUGCCUAAAAAAUAAAUAUAAUUUUUCAUUAUUCUCCCUAAUAUGCAAUGGAGUGUACUGUAACAAUGGUUGCAAUCCCUGUCACUUUAAUGCUGUAUGUGCACAUUGGUUGCUGUGUGAAUGUGUGUGCUGUGGAUACAGGACUUGACAAUGAUGGGGACUAAUGGUUGUCAUUAUACAGCACCGUUGUGUUCCCAGACUGCCUUAUUCGUUCUGACCAAUCACAAGAGCUCCUCAAAUCCGGGGCUGCAGCCACUGCCAUGGGCUAACCAAACUCUCGUCAGACGAAUAUCGCUGUUCCAAUUAUUAUUAUUUUUCUUCUUAUCUCCCCCUUUUUUUUUUUUUUUUUUUUUUUACUGCUGUCAAAAAGGAUUCGAAAAGUUGUACAACGACGUAACCAUGUUCACAUUUCAGUGUCUUUGUUCUUCUGUGUAUCUGCUUCACCAUUCAAAACAGCCGUUUCUUUCCAGUGUAACCUGUUCAUUUAAAAGAGACGAAUGAUGCGACACUUGUAGUUGUCACUCUUGGUGCUUGGCUUAUGCUUCAUUGUCUUAAUAUUCCAAAUAAAAAAACUGUUAAGUGUAAACCACA